ACGCUAGCUACAGGCUUAACACAUGCAAGUCGAGGGGCUGCAUGGUCUUAGCUUGCUAAGGCCGAUGGCGACCGGCGCACGGGUGAGUAACACGUAUCCAACCUGCCGUCUACUCUUGGACAGCCUUCUGAAAGGAAGAUUAAUACAAGAUGGCAUCAUGAGUCCGCAUGUUCACAUGAUUAAAGGUAUUCCGGUAGACGAUGGGGAUGCGUUCCAUUAGAUAGUAGGCGGGGUAACGGCCCACCUAGUCUUCGAUGGAUAGGGGUUCUGAGAGGAAGGUCCCCCACAUUGGAACUGAGACACGGUCCAAACUCCUACGGGAGGCAGCAGUGAGGAAUAUUGGUCAAUGGGCGAGAGCCUGAACCAGCCAAGUAGCGUGAAGGAUGACUGCCCUAUGGGUUGUAAACUUCUUUUAUAAAGGAAUAAAGUCGGGUAUGGAUACCCGUUUGCAUGUACUUUAUGAAUAAGGAUCGGCUAACUCCGUGCCAGCAGCCGCGGUAAUACGGAGGAUCCGAGCGUUAUCCGGAUUUAUUGGGUUUAAAGGGAGCGUAGAUGGAUGUUUAAGUCAGUUGUGAAAGUUUGCGGCUCAACCGUAAAAUUGCAGUUGAUACUGGAUAUCUUGAGUGCAGUUGAGGCAGGCGGAAUUCGUGGUGUAGCGGUGAAAUGCUUAGAUAUCACGAAGAACUCCGAUUGCGAAGGCAGCCUGCUAAGCUGCAACUGACAUUGAGGCUCGAAAGUGUGGGUAUCAAACAGGAUUAGAUACCCUGGUAGUCCACACGGUAAACGAUGAAUACUCGCUGUUUGCGAUAUACUGCAAGCGGCCAAGCGAAAGCGUUAAGUAUUCCACCUGGGGAGUACGCCGGCAACGGUGAAACUCAAAGGAAUUGACGGGGGCCCGCACAAGCGGAGGAACAUGUGGUUUAAUUCGAUGAUACGCGAGGAACCUUACCCGGGCUUAAAUUGCAGAUGAAUUACGGUGAAAGCCGUAAGCCGCAAGGCAUCUGUGAAGGUGCUGCAUGGUUGUCGUCAGCUCGUGCCGUGAGGUGUCGGCUUAAGUGCCAUAACGAGCGCAACCCUUGUUGUCAGUUACUAACAGGUUCCGCUGAGGACUCUGACAAGACUGCCAUCGUAAGAUGUGAGGAAGGUGGGGAUGACGUCAAAUCAGCACGGCCCUUACGUCCGGGGCUACACACGUGUUACAAUGGGGGGUACAGAGGGCCGCUACCACGCGAGUGGAUGCCAAUCCCCAAAACCUCUCUCAGUUCGGACUGGAGUCUGCAACCCGACUCCACGAAGCUGGAUUCGCUAGUAAUCGCGCAUCAGCCACGGCGCGGUGAAUACGUUCCCGGGCCUUGUACACACCGCCCGUCAAGCCAUGGGAGCCGGGGGUACCUGAAGUGCGUAACCGCGAGGAGCGCCCUAGGGUAAAACUGGU
rnacentral:rRNA from 1 species